AGUGAACGCUGGCGGUAGGCCUAACACAUGCAAGUCGAACGGCAGCACAGUAAGAGCUUGCUCUUACGGGUGGCGAGUGGCGGACGGGUGAGGAAUACAUCGGAAUCUACUUUUUCGUGGGGGAUAACGUAGGGAAACUUACGCUAAUACCGCAUACGACCUACGGGUGAAAGCAGGGGAUCUUCGGACCUUGCGCGAUUGAAUGAGCCGAUGUCGGAUUAGCUAGUUGGCGGGGUAAAGGCCCACCAAGGCGACGAUCCGUAACUGGUCUGAGAGGAUGAUCAGCAACACUGGAACUGAGACACGGUCAAGACUCCUACGGGAGGCAGCAGUGGGGAAUAUUGGACAAUGGGAGCAAGCCUGAUCCAGCCAUACCGCGUGGGUGAAGAAGGCCUUCGGGUUGUAAAGCCCUUUUGUUGGGAAAGAAAAGCAGCAGGUUAAUACCCCGCUGUUCUGACGGUACCCAAAGAAUAAGCACCGGCUAACUUCGUG
rnacentral:rRNA from 1 species